rfam:Paenibacillus sp. FSL H7-0357, complete genome.
CAAAUCCUGCGAUGUACGUUUACGGUUGCUCGUUGUUUUGAACCAAUGAUAAUGUCUUGGGAGAUCUAUACGAAGCGCGGCUGAAAGGCCCUGUCUAUACGACGCGGGGAAUUCAAAAACGACUUCUGCGGUCACCCACCUGCUAUAGCAGGUUCAGAAGACACUGUAGCCGGACGGCAUAGGCGGGUUUUCU